rnacentral:rRNA from 1 species
UACGUAGGAGGCAAGCGUUGUCCGGAUUUACUGGGCGUAAAGAGCGUGUAGGCGGCAUGGCAAGUCUGCUGUGAAAGCUCUCGGCUUAACCGGGAGAGGUCGGUGGAAACUGCCAGGCUAGAGGACGGUAGAGGCGUGUGGAAUUCCGGGUGUAGUGGUGAAAUGCGUAGAGAUCCGGAGGAACACCAGUGGCGAAGGCGACACGCUGGGCCGUACCUGACGCUAAAGCGCGACAGCAUGGGGAGCAAACAGG